GAUGAAGAACGUAGCGAAAUGCGAUACUUGGUGUGAAUUGCAGAAUCCCGUGAACCAUCGAGUCUUUGAACGCAAGUUGCGCCCGAAGCCAUUAGGCCGAGGGCACGCCUGCCUGGGCGUCACACGUCGUUGCCCCCCCCAUCUACUCCUUCGGGAUUGCGGGGGGCGGAUGAUGGCCUCCCGUGCGCCUCGCCGCGCGGUUGGCAUAAAUGCCAAGUCCUCGGCGACGCACGCCACGACAAUCGGUGGUUGCGAAACCUCGGUUGCCCGUCGUGUGCGGUCGUCGCGCAUCGAGGGCUCGAAAAAAUUGCCGAGUUCCGGCUCGGCUUUCAACGCGACCCCAGGUCAGGCGGGGUUACCCGCUGAAUUUAAGCAUAUCAAUAAGCGAGGA
rnacentral:misc_RNA from 1 species